rnacentral:rRNA from 1 species
AGUUUGAUCCUGGCUCAGAAUGAACGUUGGCGGCGUGGAUUAGGCAUGCAAGUCGAACGAAUCCCCGCAAGGGGGAAGUGGCGAAAGGGGCAGUAAGGCGUAGACAACCUGCCCCAGGCACUGGGAUAGCCUUCCUAACGGUUGGGUAAUACCAGAUUCGCUCCCGCAGAGGCAUCUCGGCGGGAGGAAAGCUACGGCGGCCUGGGAGGGGUUUACGUGAUAUUAGCUAGUUGGUGGGGUAACGGCUCACCAAGGCCAAGAUGUCUAGCAGGUGUGAGAGCACGACCUGCGCCACUGGCACUGGGACACUGGCCAGACUCCUACGGGAGGCUGCAGUCGAGAAUCUUCGGCAAUGAGCGCAAGUUGACCGAGCGACGCCGCGUGAGCAUGAAGGCCUUCGGGUUGUAAAGCUCUGUCGGGGGGGAGAAAAGGCAACUUGAUCGACCCCCGGAGGAAGGACGGGCUAAGUUCGUGCCAGCAGCCGCGGUAAGACGAACCGUCCAAACGUUAUUCGGAAUCACUGGGCUUAAAGGGUGCGUAGGCGGAGAGGCAAGUCAGAGGUGAAGGCCACGGCUCAACCCUGGAAGUGCCCUGAUACGGCUCCUCUUGCAGGAGAUAGGGGGGUGCGGACUUAGAGUGGGCGGUGAAAUG